GGAAUUUUGGACAAUGGGGGCAACCCUGAUCCAGCGACGCCGCGUGAAGGAUGAAGGUCUUCGGAUUGUAAACUUCUUUUGAAGGGGAUGAAUGACCCGGCGAAUAGCCGGGAGUGACAGUACUCUUCGAAUAAGCCCCGGCUAACUACGUGCCAGCAGCCGCGGUAAUACGUAGGUGGCAAGCGUUACUCGGAAUCACUAGGCGUAAAGCGCAGGUAGGAGGUUGGAUAAGUCUCUUGUGAAAGCUCCCGGCUUAACUGGGAGAGGUCAAGGGAAACUGUUCGGCUAGAGUGUGGUAGAGGAAGAUGGAAUUCCCGGUGUAGCGGUGAAAUGCGUAGAUAUCGGGAGGAAUACCUAUGGCGAAAGCAGUCUUCUGGACCAUCACUGACUCUGAUCUGCGAAAGCUAGGGGAGCAAAC
rnacentral:rRNA from 1 species